GCUCUAUAACCCUUUGUGAACAUACCUAUAACUGUUGCUUCGGCGGGUAGGGUCUCCGCGACCCUCCCGGCCUCCCGCCUCCGGGCGGGUCGGCGCCCGCCGGAGGAUAACCAAACUCUGAUUUAACGACGUUUCUUCUGAGUGGUACAAGCAAAUAAUCAAAACUUUUAACAACGGAUCUCUUGGUUCUGGCAUCGAUGAAGAACGCAGCGAAAUGCGAUAAGUAAUGUGAAUUGCAGAAUUCAGUGAAUCAUCGAAUCUUUGAACGCACAUUGCGCCCGCCAGCAUUCUGGCGGGCAUGCCUGUUCGAGCGUCAUUUCAACCCUCAAGCUCUGCUUGGUGUUGGGGCCCUACAGCUGAUGUAGGCCCUCAAAGGUAGUGGCGGACCCUCCCGGAGCCUCCUUUGCGUAGUAACUUUACGUCUCGCACUGGGAUCCGGAGGGACUCUUGCCGUAAAACCCCCCAAUUUUCCAAAGGUUGACCUCGGAUCAGGUAGGAAUACCCGCUGAACUUAAGCAUAUCAAUAAGCGGAGGAAAAGAAACCAACAGGGAUUGCCUCAGUAACGGCGAGUGAAGCGGCAACAGCUCAAAUUUGAAAUCUGGCCCUAGGCCCGAGUUGUAAUUUGCAGAGGAUGCUUUUGGUGCGGUGCCUUCCAAGUUCCCUAGAACGGGACGCCAGAGAGGGUGAGAGCCCCGUACAGUUGGACACCAAGCCUUUGUAAAGCUCCUUCGACGAGUCGAGUAGUUUGGGAAUGCUGCUCAAAAUGGGAGGUAUAUUUCUUCUAAAGCUAAAUACCGGCCAGAGACCGAUAGCGCACAAGUAGAGUGGAUCGAAAGAUGAAAAGCACUUUGAAAAGAGGGUUAAACAGCACGUGAAAUUGUUAAAAGGGAAGCGCUUGUGACCAGACUUGCGUCCGGUGAAUCACCCAGCUCUCGCGGCUGGGGCACUUCGCCGGCUCAGGCCAGCAUCAGCUCGCUGUCGGGGACAAAAGCUUCAGGAACGUAGCUCUCUUCGGGGAGUGUUAUAGCCUGUUGCACAAUACCCUUCGGCGGGCUGAGGUACGCGUCC
rnacentral:rRNA from 1 species